ACGAACGCUGGCGGCGUGCUUAACACAUGCCAGUCGAACGGAAAGGCCCUGCUUUUGUGGGGUGCUCGAGUGGCGAACGGGUGAGUAACACGUGAGUAACCUGCCCUUGACUUUGGGAUAACUUCAGGAAACUGGGGCUAAUACCGGAUAGGAGCUCCUGCUGCAUGGUGGGGGUUGGAAAGUUUCGGCGGUUGGGGAUGGACUCGCGGCUUAUCAGCUUGUUGGUGGGGUAGUGGCUUACCAAGGCUUUGACGGGUAGCCGGCCUGAGAGGGUGACCGGCCACAUUGGGACUGAGAUACGGCCCUGACUCCUACGGGAGGCAGCAGUGGGGAAUAUUGCACAAUGGGCGGAAGCCUGAUGCAGCAACGCCGCGUGCGGGAUGACGGCCUUCGGGUUGUAAACCGCUUUCGCCUGUGACGAAGCGUGAGUGACGGUAAUGGGUAAAGAAGCACCGGCUAACUACGUG
rnacentral:rRNA from 1 species